rnacentral:misc_RNA from 1 species
AAGGAAGAUUUUAAGGGCUCCAAGGUUAGGCAGCUCUCACUAGGAUUAAAUUUGUGGAUCAAUUCUAUCCAUUUCUUUGCUUUUGUCUGUUUCUUUGUUUGUUCUCAUCUUAUUUUUGUUCUGCCUUCUGGUUGUUUUGUUUGUGUGUGUGUGUGUGUUUUUUCCUUUUGGUGGCAAGUCCCACAAACUACAAACUAGUCAGGCUAAAAUGGAAGUCCACUUAUAAAAUGUAAAAAUAUUCUGCAAUGUGAAGAUGUACGUUCAUAUGAAAAUUGCAUCUUAAUUAUAGAUAACUAAUAACAUAAACUUGCUCUAUUGGUAAUUGUCUGACUAGCAAUAUUAGCCAUUACUAAUAUUAUUUUUUUACAGUGGCUGGUAAUAAGAUAUGGAA